ACGCUGGCGGCGUGCUUAACACAUGCAAGUCGAACGCUGAAGCCCAGCUUGCUGGGUGGAUGAGUGGCGAACGGGUGAGUAACACGUGAGUAACCUGCCCCCUUCUUUGGGAUAACGCCCGGAAACGGGUGCUAAUACUGGAUAUUCACUGAUCUUCGCAUGGGGGUUGGUGGAAAGGUUUUUUCUGGUGGGGGAUGGGCUCGCGGCCUAUCAGCUUGUUGGUGGGGUGAUGGCCUACCAAGGCUUUGACGGGUAGCCGGCCUGAGAGGGUGACCGGUCACAUUGGGACUGAGAUACGGCCCAGACUCCUACGGGAGGCAGCAGUGGGGAAUAUUGCACAAUGGGCGAAAGCCUGAUGCAGCGACGCCACGUGAGGGAUGACGGCCUUCGGGUUGUAAACCUCUUUCGCUCAUGGUCAAGCCGCAGCUUUGGGUUGUGGUGAGGGUAGUGGGUAAAGAAGCGCCGGCUAACUACGUGCCAGCAGCCGCGGUAAUACGUAGGGCGCGAGCGUUGUCCGGAAUUAUUGGGCGUAAAGGGCUUGUAGGCGGUUGGUCGCGUCUACCGUGAAAUCCUCUGGCUUAACUGGGGGCGUGCGGUGGGUACGGGCUGACUUGAGUGCGGUAGGGGAGACUGGAACUCCUGGUGUAGCGGUGGAAUGCGCAGAUAUCAGGAAGAACACCGGUGGCGAAGGCGGGUCUCCGGGCCGUUACUGACGCUGAGGAGCGAAAGCGUGGGGAGCGAACAGGAUUAGAUACCCUGGUAGUCCACGCUGUAAACGUUGGGCACUAGGUGUGGGGGCCACCCGUGGUUUCUGCGCCGUAGCUAACGCUUUAAGUGCCCCGCCUGGGGAGUACGGCCGCAAGGCUAAAACUCAAAGGAAUUGACGGGGGCCCGCACAAGCGGCGGAGCAUGCGGAUUAAUU
rnacentral:rRNA from 1 species